GCUUUUUAUUCUCUAUGGUUUUACUUGGUGGUGCUACCUGUUAGGUGAUUUUAAUACUUGCUAAUCUGGGAGAUGGUAUGCGUAGGUUCGUCAUCAACCACCCAUGCCUUUCUAACUCCAUGAACUAAGCAUCUUUAUCCAAACUUCUAAAAGAAACAAAUGCUCAUCUACUGUAAACACUUGAUUACUUUGAAGGGCAAAAAAAAUCUUUUGCUAUAAUCACGAUGAAGCCACCUAGAGCAUUUCUUGCCAGCAUGUUUGAUCAGUUAAGCAAUACCUACAUGUGUUCUUGGUAAGAUUAGAAUAGACAAGUAUCACAUCAUAUAUGUUCUCAGUAAGUGAUGUACUCCUGAAUCCCCACAAAGAUUAAAAGUGACUUUUCCCUUAUCUGUCGUCCUUGCCAAACUAUAGUGUUUAUUAUAUGGCGACCUUGCUUUCAAGUUCUAUAUAUGAAAUUUGUCUUCAG
rnacentral:sRNA from 1 species